rnacentral:rRNA from 1 species
UUAAUAUGAGAGUUUGAUCUUGGCUCAGGAUGAACGCUGGCGGCGUGCCUAAUACAUGCAAGUCGAACGAACUUCCGUUAAUUGAUUAUGAGGUGCUUGCACUGAAUGAGAUUUUAACACGAAGUGAGUGGCGGACGGGUGAGUAACACGUGGGUAACCUGCCCAGAAGCAGGGGAUAACACCUGGAAACAGAUGCUAAUACCGUAUAACAGAGAAAACCGCCUGGUUUUCUUUUAAAAGAUGGCUCUGCUAUCACUUCUGGAUGGACCCGCGGCGCAUUAGCUAGUUGGUGAGGUAACGGCUCACCAAGGCGAUGAUGCGUAGCCGACCUGAGAGGGUAAUCGGCCACAUUGGGACUGAGACACGGCCCAGACUCCUACGGGAGGCAGCAGUAGGGAAUCUUCCACAAUGGACGCAAGUCUGAUGGAGCAACGCCGCGUGAGUGAAGAAGGGUUUCGGCUCGUAAAGCUCUGUUGUUAAAGAAGAACGUGGGUGAGAGUAACUGUUCACCCAGUGACGGUAUUUAACCAGAAAGCCACGGCUAACUACGUGCCAGCAGCCGCGGUAAUACGUAGGUGGCAAGCGUUAUCCGGAUUUAUUGGGCGUAAAGCGAGCGCAGGCGGUCUUUUAAGUCUAAUGUGAAAGCCUUCGGCUCAACCGAAGAAGUGCAUUGGAAACUGGGAGACUUGAGUGCAGAAGAGGACAGUGGAACUCCAUGUGUAGCGGUGAAAUGCGUAGAUAUAUGGAAGAACACCAGUGGCGAAGGCGGCUGUCUGGUCUGUAACUGACGCUGAGGCUCGAAAGCAUGGGUAGCGAACAGGAUUAGAUACCCUGGUAGUCCAUGCCGUAAACGAUGAUUACUAAGUGUUGGAGGGUUUCCGCCCUUCAGUGCUGCAGCUAACGCAUUAAGUAAUCCGCCUGGGGAGUACGACCGCAAGGUUGAAACUCAAAAGAAUUGACGGGGGCCCGCACAAGCGGUGGAGCAUGUGGUUUAAUUCGAAGCUACGCGAAGAACCUUACCAGGUCUUGACAUCUUCUGCCAACCUAAGAGAUUAGGCGUUCCCUUCGGGGACAGAAUGACAGGUGGUGCAUGGUUGUCGUCAGCUCGUGUCGUGAGAUGUUGGGUUAAGUCCCGCAACGAGCGCAACCCUUAUUACUAGUUGC